rnacentral:rRNA from 1 species
AACGAACGCUGGCGGCGUGCCUAACACAUGCAAGUCGAACGGAAUUGAGGGGCUUGCUCUUCAAUUUAGUGGCGCACGGGUGAGUAACGCGUGGAUAAUCUGCCUGACGAUCUGGGAUAACAUCUCGAAAGGGGUGCUAAUACCGGAUAAGCCCACGGGAACUUCGGUUUUUGCGGGAAAAGGGGGGGACCUUUUGGCCUUCUGUCGUCAGAUGAGUCCGCGUACCAUUAGCUAGUUGGUAGGGUAAAGGCCUACCAAGGCUACGAUGGUUAGCUGGUUUGAGAGAAUGAUCAGCCACACUGGAACUGAGACACGGUCCAGACUCCUACGGGAGGCAGCAGUGGGGAAUUUUGCGCAAUGGGCGAAAGCCUGACGCAGCAACGCCGCGUGAGUGAUGAAGGCUUUCGGGUCGUAAAGCUCUGUCAGAGGGAAAGAAGUGUAUUGUGGCUAAUAUCCGCGAUACCUGACGGUACCCUCAAAGGAAGCACCGGCUAACUCCGUGCCAGCCGCCGCGGUAACAC